UACGGGGGGAGCAAGCGUUGUUCGGAUUUACUGGGCGUAAAGGGCGCGUAGGCGGUCAGCACAAGUCAGUUGUGAAAUCUCCGGGCUUAACUCGGAAAGGUCAACUGAUACUGUGCGACUAGAGUGCGGAAGGGGCAACUGGAAUUCUCGGUGUAGCGGUGAAAUGCGUAGAUAUCGAGAGGAACACCUGCGGCGAAGGCGGGUUGCUGGGCCGACACUGACGCUGAGGAGCGAAAGCGUGGGGAGCGAACAGG
rnacentral:rRNA from 1 species